rnacentral:rRNA from 1 species
ACGAACGCUGGCGGCGUGCCUAAUACAUGCAAGUCGAGCGAAGUUUUUCUGGUGCUUGCACUAGAAAAACUUAGCGGCGAACGGGUGAGUAACACGUAAAGAACCUGCCUCAUAGACUGGGACAACUAUUGGAAACGAUAGCUAAUACCGGAUAACAGUAUUUCUCGCAUGAGAGAUAUUUAAAAGUUGGUUAUGCUAACACUAUGAGAUGGCUUUGCGGUGCAUUAGCUAGUUGGUGGGGUAAAGGCCCACCAAGGCGACGAUGCAUAGCCGACCUGAGAGGGUGAUCGGCCACACUGGGACUGAGACACGGCCCAGACUCCUACGGGAGGCAGCAGUAGGGAAUCUUCCGCAAUGGGCGAAAGCCUGACGGAGCAACGCCGCGUGAGUGAAGAAGGAUUUCGGUCCGUAAAGCUCUGUUGUUAGGGAAGAAUGGAUAUGUAGUAACUAUACAUAUAAG